rnacentral:lncRNA from 1 species
CUGCUUCUUGCGAUUUUAGGAGGAGAUUGGGACCUGCUUGCUGAGCGUUUGGGAGGGGAGGUUGACAUGCUUGCUGCGCGUUUGGGAGCAGAGGUGCUGUUGGGAUUUGGUUGCUGCGAAACUGUGAGGAUACCUGCUUGGGACCUGCUAGCUUGCUACGAAAAUCGAGUCCACUGCUGAGAUUAAAAUUGCUAGACUGCCGAGAUUGGAGGAUUGUUAAGAUUGGAAGGCCCAUUGCUGAGGUAGUGUUCUCCUCAAGGUUACCCAUUGUUGCUUAGGUAUGCUUUUGUUUGCUUCAUUUAUGAAGGUUAAUGUCCUUGCAAAUAACUGCAUGAAAAUAACUGUAUGUCUUUUGACGAGAAUCAUUAACUAGUGUAUUUCAAUUUUGGUGCUCAAGUUUCUGCAUAUAUAUCCUUUGACCAUUUUUUUAUUCUGUAUAUGAUGCCUGAACAUUUGCAUUGCAUAUAGGACAGUUUUCAAUGAGGCAUACUAUUUCUGUUGCAGAUUGGCAAAACAAAAGUGCUCCUUUUAGGUUUGGAAUAACUGGUGCAAUGACUAGGGUUGGCAGUUCACCCUCAAACUACACUCUCAUGGUCUUAAUUCUACAUUCUCCCUUCUCUCCACAUUCCUAUCAUUAUUUCUUGUGGCUUGGAUCUGCCUUGGAUCUGAUGCUCUUAUGUAUACAUACAAUCCACUUAUUUGUAACAUUGAUUCUAUAUUCUCUGCAUUCUUUGAUAUUCAUUCCUUCACCUCCUUUGAUUGCAGUAUGCUGGUGCAGCUUAGGACAAACUAAAAGACGUAAGUAUGUUUAAUUUGAGUUCCAUGUUUAAUUUGAGUUCCUAUUUUAUUGUUUGAGUUGUUUUUAUUUAAGCUGGGAAUGAUAUUGUAGCAUUACUGGCUUUUGCCUUUAUAUCAAUGAUAACACAUCCUUAUAUUUUAAUUUUCAAUGCAUUUUGACCAUAUUUAUCAAACUGGUGAGCUUUGUUUCCAUCACUAAAAUUUACUUAGAAAAUCAUUGCCUACGUUUAAAUUGGUCCAAGUUUAGAUCAUCUCUUAAACAUUACUCAAGUAGCCUGAAUUUUUGACAAAGAAAAAAUAGCCUGAAUAUAUAAUUUUUUCUUUUGGUUAAUAGUUUGAACACAGGACCUGAAAGAUAGGAUUUGUCAUUUUGCUAUUAGUUUUACAUGAUGGUACAUCACUAAAAUUUACUUAGAAAAUCAUUGCCUACGUUUAAAUUGGUCCAAGUUUAGAUCAUCUCUUAAACAUUACUCAAGUAGCCUGAAUUUUUGACAAAGAAAAAAUAGCCUGAAUAUAUAAUUUUUUCUUUUGGUUAAUAGUUUGAACACAGGACCUGAAAGAUAGGAUUUGUCAUUUUGCUAUUAGUUUUACAUGAUGGUAGGAGUCACCGAAUGGGAGUAAAUUUAAAUAGAUGAUCUAUUGUUUUGUUUAGCAAUAGAUACUACAAACUAGCCCUUGUUUGAUUCAAGUUUUAUUCUACUGAUUAGAAAUAAAAUCUGCUAACAUUAUGGAUGUUUAAUAUGGGAGCUUAAACAUUGAACCACAGCAGCAGGCACUUGCUGCUGUGGU